UGCAAGUCGAGCGGACCGACGGGAGCUUGCUCCCUUAGGUCAGCGGCGGACGGGUGAGUAACACGUGGGUAACCUGCCUGUAAGACUGGGAUAACUCCGGGAAACCGGGGCUAAUACCGGAUGCUUGAUUGAACCGCAUGGUUCAAUCAUAAAAGGUGGCUUUUAGCUACCACUUACAGAUGGACCCGCGGCGCAUUAGCUAGUUGGUGAGGUAACGGCUCACCAAGGCGACGAUGCGUAGCCGACCUGAGAGGGUGAUCGGCCACACUGGGACUGAGACACGGCCCAGACUCCUACGGGAGGCAGCAGUAGGGAAUCUUCCGCAAUGGACGAAAGUCUGACGGAGCAACGCCGCGUGAGUGAUGAAGGUUUUCGGAUCGUAAAACUCUGUUGUUAGGGAAGAACAAGUACCGUUCGAAUAGGGCGGUACCUUGACGGUACCUAACCAGAAAGCCACGGCUAACUACGUGCCAGCAGCCGCGGUAAUACGUAAGUGGCAAGCGUUGUCCGGAAUUAUUGGGCGUAAAGCGCGCGCAGGCGGUUUCUUAAGUCUGAUGUGAAAGCCCCCGGCUCAACCGGGGAGGGUCAUUGGAAACUGGGGAACUUGAGUGCAGAAGAGGAGAGUGGAAUUCCACGUGUAGCGGUGAAAUGCGUACAGAUGUGGAGGAACACCAGUGGCGAAGGCGACUCUCUGGUCUGUAACUGACGCUGAGGCGCG
rnacentral:rRNA from 1 species